rnacentral:misc_RNA from 1 species
AACGCACAUUGCGCCCUGUGGUAUUCCGCAGGGCAUGCCUGUUCGAGCGUCAUUUUACCCAUCAAGCCUAGCUUGGUAUUGGAGCCCGUUUUUCAACGGCUCCCAAAUGCAAUAGCAGUCUAGAUAAGACCCUAAGCACAGUAAAUUUUCUUGCUUCUGGGCCCUGUCGCGCCUUGCUCAAACCCUAUUUUUAAGGUUGACCUCGGAUCAGGUAGGGAUACCCGCUGAACUUAA